rnacentral:rRNA from 1 species
AUUGAACGCUGGCGGCAGGCCUAACACAUGCAAGUCGAACGGUAACAGGAAGACGCUUGCUUCUUUGCUGACGAGUGGCGGACGGGUGAGUAAUGUCUGGGAAACUGCCUGAUGGAGGGGGAUAACUACUGGAAACGGUAGCUAAUACCUCAUAAUGUCGCAAGACCAAAGAGGGGGACCUUCGGGCCUCUUGCCAUCGGAUGUGCCCAGAUGGGAUUAGCUAGUAGGUGGGGUUACGGCUCACCUAGGCGACGAUCCCUAGCUGGUCUGAGAGGAUGACCAGCCACACUAGAACUGAGACACGGUCCAGACUCCUACGGGAGGCAGCAGUGGGGAAUAUUGCACAAUGGGCGCAAGCCUGAUGCAGCUAUGCCGCGUGUAUGAAGAAGGCCUUCGGGUUGUAAAGUACUUUCAGCGGGGAGGAAGGGAGUAAAGUUAAUACCUUUGCUCAUUGACGUUACCCGCAGAAGAAGCACCGGCUAACUCCGUG